rnacentral:lncRNA from 1 species
GCUGAUGACACUAUACCAUCAACAUUGGCUGAUGACACUAUACCAUCAACAUUGGAUGACACUAUACCAUCAACAUUGGCUGAUGACACUAUACCAUCAACAUUGGCUGAUGACACUAUACCAUCAACAUUGGCUGAUGACACUAUACCAUCAACAUUGGCUGAUGACACUAUACCAUUAACAUUGGCUGAUGACACUAUACCAUUAACAUUGGCUGAUGACACUAUACCAUUAACAUUGGCUGAUGACACUAUACCAUCAACAUUGGCUGACACUAUACCAUCAACAUUGGCUGAUGACACUAUACCAUCAACAUUGGCUGAUGACACUAUACCAUCAACAUUGGCUGAUGACAAUAUACCAUCAACAUUGGCUGAUGACACUAUACCAUCAACAUUGGCUGAUGACACUAUACCAUCAACAUUGGCUGAUGACACUAUACCAUCAACAUUGGCUGAUGACACUCUACCAUCAACAUUGGCUGAUGACACUCUACCAUCAACAUUGGCUGAUGACACUAUACCAUCAACAUUGGCUGAUGACACUAUACCAUCAACAUUGGCUGAUGACACUAUACCAUCAACAUUGGCUGAUGACACUCUACCAUCAACAUUGGCUGAUGACACUAUACCAUCAACAUUGGCUGAUGACACUCUACCAUCAACAUUGGCUGAUGACACUAUACCAUCAACAUUGGCUGAUGACACUAUACCAUCAACAUUGGCUGAUGACACUAUACCAUCAACAUUGGCUGAUGACACUAUACCAUCAACAUUGGCUGAUGACACUAUACCAUCAACAUUGGCUGAUGACACUAUACCAUCAACAUUGGCUGAUGACACUAUACCAUCAACAUUGGCUGAUGACACUAUACCAUCAACAUUGGCUGAUGACACUAUACCAUCAACAUUGGCUGAUGACACUAUACCAUCAACAUUGGCUGAUGACACUAGCUCAAAUGUUAUGCCUUUUUUUUAUUCACUUGUUCUCAUCAAUUUUGUUUCUGCAACCUUAUUUAACUUUUCUGUAUCAUUUUGUUUACCAAAACGAGCACUUGUUUUGGAAGGGACCCUAAAUGAAGGAUGCUUUCCUUGGGAGGGCAUGGGUUGAGUAUAUUUUAUAUGCAACUUUUGUAAAAGUCUACAUUUUAUACCUGAUUUGUAAUUAUGUAAAUGAAGGCUCCAGAUGAUCAAAUCAGAUAAUGUAUGCUUCUGAUCAGAGAGCAACGUCAGGAUAAAGCACAAGUGGACUUGAAUUGUGAACUUAACAUAUAUAUUGUAUCUGCCUCUAAUAUAUGCUUAUUACCAUAGUGGAAUUUAUUUGAAUUGCAAAUUAAACACAGCUUUUCUCACAACUACUCUCUUUAUUAUAUCAUAAUACAAACGAGGAGAUAUUCCAUUGCAUGUUCAUUGUAUCUGUCUAAGUUGGACUUUGAACUGCCUCAGGUUCUGCUCAUUUCCAUACCACAUCAUACCAGCUUAACUUACAAAACC